rnacentral:rRNA from 1 species
GACGAACGCUGGCGGCGUGCUUAACACAUGCAAGUCGAACGGACAGGCCCUGCUUUUGUGGGGUGCACGAGUGGCGAACGGGUGAGUAACACGUGAGUAACCUGCCCUUGACUUUGGGAUAAAUUCAGGAAACUGGGGCUCAUACCGGAUAGGAGCUCCUGCUGCAUGGUGGGGGUUGGAAAGUUUCGGCGGUUGGGGAUGGACUCGCGGCUUAUCAGCUUGUUGGUGGGGUAGUGGCUUACCAAGGCUUUGACGGGUAGCCGGCCUGAGAGGGUGACCGGCCACAAUGGGACUAAGAUACGGCCCAGACUCCUACGGGAGGCAGCAGUGGAGAAUAUGGCGCAAUGGGCGGAAGCCUGAUGCAGCAACGCCGCGUGCGGGAUGACGGCCUUCGGGUUGUAAACCGCUUUCGCCGGUGACGAAGCGUGAGUGACGGUAAUGGGUAAAGAAGCACCGGCUAACUACGUG